rnacentral:tRNA from 66 species
AGGGGUGUAGCUCCAACUGGCAGAGCAGCGGAUUCCAAAUCCGCGUGUUGGGAGUUCGAAUCUCUCCACCCCUGCCA